AUUGAACGCUGGCGGCAGGCCUAACACAUGCAAGUCGAACGAGUGGCGGACGGGUGAGUAAUGUCUGGGAAACUGCCCGAUGGAGGGGGAUAACUACUGGAAACGGUAGCUAAUACCGCAUACCAUCGGAUGUUUCCCGAUGGGAUUAGCUUGGAGGUGGGGUAAUGGCCUACCUAGGCGACGAUCCCUAGCUGGUCUGAGAGGAUGACGGGCCACACUGGAACUGAGACACGGUCCGGACUCCUACGGGAGGCAGCAGAGGGAAAUAUUGCACAAAGGGCGCAGGUGUGAUGCAGCAAUGCGGCGUGUAUGAAGAAGGCCUUCGGGUUGUAAAGUUCUUUCAGCGGGGAGGCGUUACUCGCAGAAGAAGCACCGGCUAACUACGUGCCAGCAGCCGCGGUAAUUC
rnacentral:rRNA from 1 species